rnacentral:rRNA from 1 species
AUGCUGCACACUUGUGGAGCAUGUGCAGAGAACACAAAGGUUACUACAAAGUGGUUGUCCAAAUCAGUACAACCAGUAUUGAGAGAUGACAUUAGAGCUCCUGUGGAUGCAUUAAUAAAAAAGACUAAGACUAAGUUUUCAGUUGAUGUUUUAAGAAGUGUGGCAUAUAGGGCAAGGAGGAAGGUUGUUGAUGUGGUGCAAGGUGACCACAAGCAACAAUACUUGAGACUGAGGGAUUAUCUUCAAGCUGUUCUUGACACAAACCCUGGGAGCAGAUGUAUUGUAACAACAUUUGUUGACCCAGAAAAUCCUGCACCCACUCCUAGAUUCAAGUACAUGUUCUAUUGUCUGGCAGCAUCAAAGGAAGGGUUUCUGAAUGGUUGCAGACCAUUUAUAGGGCUUGAUGGGUGUUUCAUCAAGUUAACCACUGGACAGCAAAUUCUUGCUGCCACAGGAAGGGAUGGCAACAACAACAUCUACCCCAUAGCUUUUGGUGUGGUUGACAAGGAAGAUGGAGAAAGUUGGACUUGGUUUUUAACUCAGCUGAGAUGCUGCAUUGGUAGUGGUAACAAAUUUGGAACAUACACAAUAAUAUCUGGCAGGCAAAAGGGGUUACUUAAGGCAAUAAAUGAGGUGUUCCCUGAUUCACCUCAAAGAUUCUGUCUUAGGCACAUAUAUGCAAACUUUCAAGCAGCUGGGUAUAGAAGCAAAGAACUAAAGCACUGUGUUGACCAGGCUAACUACUCUUACACUAGGCAUGGGCAUGAAUUAGGGAUGGCAGCUCUGAAAGCACAGUCUGAGGAUGCUUGGAAAUGGCUUAAAAAUAUAGAGAUCUCUGCUUGGGCUAGGUAUGCUAUGGAUCAUACUUGCAAAACAGAUCUAGUUGUGAACAACCUUAGUGAAGUCUUCAACAAGAUGAUACUUGAUGUUAGAGCCAAACCAAUAAGGACAAUGUUUGAAGGGAUUAGAACCAAGCAGAUGAUAAAGAGGCAGCAGACUAGGGGGAAGUUGCAGACAUGCAGGUGGACAAUCACACCAAAUUACUCAGAAGAGAACAAAAAGUAUGCCAAGCACUGCCAGGCUGACAAAGCUGGUGAGACAAUUUGGCAAGUAACAAGCAAAGAAAACCAAUAUUGUGUGGACAUGGAAACAUGUACAUGUGACUGCAAGAGAUGGGACAUGACAGGUUGUCCUUGCAGUCAUGCCAUAUCUGCAUUGACAAAGCAAAAGCUCCAUCCUGAAGACUAUGUUAAUGAAUUCUUCAAGAAGCCACUGUACCUGGAGGCAUACAAAGCAAUAAUUUUCCCUGUCCCUGGUCCAGAUUGCUGGCCUGAUACAAACACUCCAGAUAUCCAGCCUCCUGUGUUCAAAGAAAAGGCAGGGAAAAAGCAGACAACAAGGAGGAAGGGUGAGUUUGAGGUUCCAGCUCCUAGAGACACUAGUAGGAUGGGUACUAUCACCUGUGGAAAUUGUAACAAGACUCUAAGGCCUAGGCUUCAGAUGAGGAAGACAGGACAUCAGGAAAACAGGGCAGUUUAUGAAGACAUAGCCGGUUCAUCUAGAACAGUUCCUCUUGCAACUGCAAGAACCACAACAGUACCUGCUGCAACUCCAUCUGCAUCUGCACCAGCCCCUUCUGCAUCUGGCCCAGGCCCUUCUGCAUCUGCACCAGGCCCUGCACCAAGAGCUAAAAGAGGUAGGCCUAAAGGUAGAGGGAGGACUCGUGGAUUUACUGCUCCAAGACCUGCAAGCACUUCAGAUAAUCAAGUUGGGACCAAGAGGAAGAGAAUGACAAGCUCCAAAUUAAAAGGUUAUUUCUAUUGCAGUGGUAACUACUGA